rnacentral:rRNA from 1 species
GUAGGUGGCAAGCGUUGUCCGGAAUUAUUGGGCGUAAAGCGCGCGCAGGCGGUUCUUUAAGUCUGAUGUGAAAGCCCACGGCUCAACCGUGGAGGGUCAUUGGAAACUGGAGAACUUGAGUACAGAAGAGGAAAGCGGAAUUCCACGUGUAGCGGUGAAAUGCGUAGAGAUGUGGAGGAACACCAGUGGCGAAGGCGGCUUUCUGGUCUGUAACUGACGCUGAGGCGCGAAAGCGUGGGGUAGCAAACAGGGAUUAGAUACCCUGGUAGUCCACGCCGUAAACGAUGAGUGCUAAGUGUUAGGGGGGUUUCCGCCCCCUUAGUGCUGCAGCUAACGCAUUAAGCACUCCGCCUGGGGAUACGGCCGCAAGGCUG